AGCGAACGCUGGCGGCAGGCUUAACACAUGCAAGUCGAGCGGGCACUUCGGUGUCAGCGGCAGACGGGUGAGUAACACGUGGGAACGUACCCUUCGGUUCGGAAUAACGCUGGGAAACUAGCGCUAAUACCGGAUACGCCCUUUUGGGGAAAGGUUUACUGCCGAAGGAUCGGCCCGCGUCUGAUUAGCUAGUUGGUGGGGUAAUGGCCUACCAAGGCGACGAUCAGUAGCUGGUCUGAGAGGAUGAUCAGCCACACUGGGACUGAGACACGGCCCAGACUCUUAGAGGAGGCGGGAGAGGGGGAUAUUGGACAGUGGGGGGAAGGAUGAUGCAGCCAGGGUGGGAAAAUGAUGAUGUACUUAAGGAAGAAAAGCUCUCUUAUACGGGAGGGUAAUGACGGUACCGGAAGAAUAAGCACCGGCUAACUACGUG
rnacentral:rRNA from 1 species